UACAGAGGGGGGCAAGCGUUGCUCGGAUUUACUGGGCGUAAAGGGCGCGUAGGCGGACAGUUAAGUUGGGGGUGAAAGCCCGGGGCUCAACCUCGGAAUUGCCUUCAAUACUGGCUGUCUUGAGUGUGAGAGAGGUGUGUGGAACUCCGAGUGUAGAGGUGAAAUUCGUAGAUAUUCGGAAGAACACCAGUGGCGAAGGCGACACACUGGCUCACUACUGACGCUGAGGCGCGAAAGCGUGGGGGAGCAAACAGG
rnacentral:rRNA from 1 species